AUUGAACGCUGGCGGCAUGCUUUACACAUGCAAGUCGAACGGCAGCGCGGGCUUCGGCCUGGCGGCGAGUGGCGAACGGGUGAGUAAUGCAUCGGAACGUGCCCAGUAGUGGGGGAUAGCCCGGCGAAAGCCGGAUUAAUACCGCAUACGACCUGAGGGUGAAAGCGGGGGACCGAAAGGCCUCGCGCUAUUGGAGCGUCCGAUGUCGGAUUAGCUAGUUGGUGGGGUAAAGGCUUACCAAGGCGACGAUCCGUAGCUGGUCUGAGAGGACGACCAGCCACACUGGGACUGAGACACGGCCCAGACUCCUACGGGAGGCAGCAGUGGGGAAUUUUGGACAAUGGGGGCAACCCUGAUCCAGCCAUGCCGCGUGCGGGAAGAAGGCCUUCGGGUUGUAAACCGCUUUUGUUCGGGAAGAAAUCCUGUGGGCUAAUACCCCGGGGGGAUGACGGUACCGGAAGAAUAAGCACCGGCUAACUACGUG
rnacentral:rRNA from 1 species